rnacentral:rRNA from 1 species
UACGGGGGGAGCAAGCGUUGUUCGGAUUUACUGGGCGUAAAGGGCGCGUAGGCGGCCACCGCAAGUCGACUGUGAAAUCUCCGGGCUUAACCCGGAAAGGUCAGCCGAUACUGCGGGGCUAGAGUGCAGAAGGGGCAACUGGAAUUCUCGGUGUAGCGGUGAAAUGCGUAGAUAUCGAGAGGAACACCUGCGGCGAAGGCGGGUUGCUGGGCUGACACUGACGCUGAUUGUGCGAAAGCUAGGGGAGCGAACGGG